rnacentral:rRNA from 1 species
UACGUAGGGUGCAAGCGUUGUCCGGAAUUAUUGGGCGUAAAGGGCUCGUAGGCGGUCCAUCGCGUCGGGAGUGAAAAGCUGGGGCUUAACCCCAGUCCUGCUUCCGAUACGGGUGGACUAGAGUGUGGUAGGGGAGACUGGAAUUCCUGGUGUAGCGGUGAAAUGCGCAGAUAUCAGGAGGAACACCGAUGGCGAAGGCAGGUCUCUGGGCCACUACUGACGCUGAGAAGCGAAAGCAUGGGGAGCGAACAGG